AGUUGUAGCAGAGAGCUGUGGCCGGCUCUGCUCUCCGUAGUUCAAUGGCAUUGAGAGAAUGUGGAGAGAAUUCAGAGCAAAAGCCAAUAGUCACUCAGUGAGCAGCAAGGAAGGGCUAAAGGACCUGGGAUUAUUCACCCUAGCAGGGAAAAGCUCCGGGGUGAUUUAAGAAGCAUCAGCAUUGGACACAAACUUCAGAAGAGUUGCUGCAUGGAGGAUGAUGGCCGCUUUUUCUCUGUUGCCAAGAGCACAAAAAGAAUGGGCUUAUUAAAGUUAAACGAAAGGAAGAAUUUCCUUUCCCCAAGGGUUGUUUGACACCGUAGGGUUGGAGAUUUCUCCCUGGAGGACUUAACAAAGAUCAGUGUUUUUAAAAAUGGAAUGGCUUCGCUGGGUCCUUCCUGAAGCCCAGGGAUGGAAGGUUCUCAGUCUCUUUUCUGCCAUGACCUGGAUGAUGGAUGAUGUCCACUGGGGGACACUCCCAUGGGCACGCUGACAGUGUGCACAACUCCCAGCAUCCUCCUGGCAGCUGUGUUCCUUUCCUUCCUCUCAAGAAAACAUACCAGGAAAUGAGGGGGAGCUGUGUUGUGAUCAGGAUAACCUCAAAUCCUCUUUUUAAAAAAGAGAAUUCAAGAAGAGAUGAGAAGAGGCGAUGUAAAUGGACAAUGCUUUGGUCUCAGUUUCUUACUUCCCUUCAAGAAAUCUCAUCAGUUGAGGCUUCUUCAAAUGGACUUGGUCACAAACAAUUUGCAAAAUGAAACAGGAACCGGUCCCUGGACUGCCGUUUGAGUAGCACUGGCUUAAAAGAUAUAAGACUCCAGACGUUGGAACCUUGCUGCAUGCAGGGAAAGAUGAAGAUCAUGUCAUUAAUGUGAACUAUCAUCUCAAGAACAGACAUCCGCAGAGCUAAAGGAAAGUCAGAACAGGGUAGGGACCCAUUAAAACUAAGCGUCUCUGAAACAAGCAUCGCUAAGUAUAAAAUAUCCUACGUAACUAAUAACUUCAGUUUUUUAGGCAUUUUCGAAAAUAUCAAGAAGAAACAAAUUUCUAGUACUUUUAAAGCCAGACUUUCAGAUCGGUCAAUGAAGUUCUGGAUCUACUUUUAACUUGGUGCCUCCCAUUGGCCAAUACUAUCACAACAUAUCACAGUAACGUGUAGGUCCUUCAUUCGGAAUUCUAGAGCUCAGUGGGUGAGACGCAAGAGUGAGAUGUUUUAGAUGGAAAUUCAGAUCAUACAUAAAGAAACAACUGAAAUAGUCAAUGCAAAAACAAAACAGAAAACAAAACACCCCAAAACCCAAAACCACCACCACCAACAACAAAAAAAACCAAACCACAGGCCGAAAGUGUUUCCUCUGGUAGAAAAUUUGUGACAUUGGGUUAAAAAGAAAAAAGGAAUAAAUGUCAAGGGCGGCUGGGUUAAUGAGUACAGCGAGGACAGCUGGAGACGAGAACGCUGACGUGGACCGAGCGGGAGCAGAAAAUUAGGGCGGUGAUUACAGCAGCCCCUAACGGGCACUUACUCCACGUCAACGUAUAAUGGGGCAUGAUUGGCACCG